UACGUAGGGUGCAAGCGUUGUCCGGAAUUAUUGGGCGUAAAGAGCUCGUAGGCGGUUUGUCGCGUCGGCUGUGAAAACCCGGGGCUCAACCCCGGGCCUGCAGUCGAUACGGGCAAACUAGAGUGUGGUAGGGGAGACUGGAACUCCUGGUGUAGCGGUGAAAUGCGCAGAUAUCAGGAGGAACACCGGUGGCGAAGGCGGGUCUCUGGGCCAUAACUGACGCUGAGGAGCGAAAGCGUGGGGAGCGAACAGG
rnacentral:rRNA from 1 species